GUUCCUAUUUCUUACAUUGAGAGGUAAAGGGAGGAGAAUGUCCUGUGCCACAGAACAUGUUCAUGACCUCACAAACCACCACCAUUCUCAACUCAGCAAUUUGGGAACCAACUGAUUUGGAAAGACGAUGAUUGUGUGUUAAUUUUCUCCUACUCUGUUAUGUAAAGCCACCCAGAUAAAGAAGAGACAACUUUACUGAUGGAGGAUAUGAACACAGUUCUCCAUCAUCCUUUUGGCAGGCCCUAUGCUCUAUGACACCCUAGCAUAUCCUCACAUCAUCACAGCAUACCAUAGAAACAGAAGUCCUGAGGAGCCCUGAACUGGCCAGGACCCACAUCCUGGAGUGUCUGUCUCAUGAAGGAGAUCAAAAGCAAUCAUGCACACGUGCAUAGAUGCCAAGUGAGUGCUGCAGAAGCCCCACAUGACAAAGAAAUAUGCCAUCUCAUCACCAGCAGGACUUCUGGAUACCCAGACUCUCACGACUUUGUGUUUUUACUGAGUACUUGCUUAUCUCACCUUUAGGAAAGCUGAAGUCCUCAUAUUGCCAUCAAGCCACCAGCUAUCUCUAAAGCCACCCAAAAUCCUCAGAUGUCUUCCAUUGUUCAACACUGAUUUUUGACAUGUACCUAAGUGUCUGUUUCCAAACAGGUCCUGACAAUUUUGACAAACCUACAGCCUGUCCCUUCCUAUUGUUUUUUGUGAUCCACAAACAAGUUUUUCUUCUGUUUAAGCCCUGAGGUUGCAGCAGACCCAGAAGAUGAAAGUCAUGCACAAAAUGCAAACAGUAGCCUUACUUCUUAAAGAUAUCACCAAAGCAGGGAAUGAAACUCAGGUUUCACUGCUCCCAGCAGGGGCUUGUCCAUGGACUAUUUGGGUUCAUUCUUGCCACUCUUUAACCCGAUAAAGUUUUCCACAAAACAGAGGAAUUUCUUAGCAAAAUAUGCAAAGUUCCUGCACUCAAAGCCCUCCUUCAAUUAGGAACUCUCAUGAAGGACAAGAUGCCACCCUCAGCCUCUCUUCCAGGGAAGGGUUUAGGAUCCCACAUGCCAGAUCACUACAGAUGGAGAGCCCAAGCAAUAAAUACUGUGGGUUGUAGGACUGAGUUUUCAGGAGGUCCCUGCUUCAAUUGCAACACCAGCUUGCAAAAAAAGCCAGCACCAAGCUGUUUCUGAAUCUGGUCUUCCUCUGCAAGCCUGCUGAG